CUACGGUGUCUUUAAGAAGGUUUCGUGUACUUACCCCUUUUUCGAUGUUGCCGAUUACCUUGCGAGAGGAUGGUCUUUAGACGUCCUCCAAGCUUUAGGCAUCAUCAAAUCUUCCUCUUGUCGUGGUUCUUCUUCCGAUGGUUGUUUCAUGGCUUCAUCUUGUCUUUCCGUUGGAUUCUCCUUUUCUGUUUUGUCUUGAAG
rnacentral:lncRNA from 1 species